UAGGUACUGCGGAAGGAUCAUUG
rnacentral:rRNA from 1 species